CCCCCCGUUAACUCAGUGUUCCUGGUUGAUUCGUGCAUAGUGACAGUUUUCCUGGAGUUGUUUCUGUUACUGUAGCACAGGCGCAGUACCUGUUUGUCUGAUCGGUCAUUCUGCUGUCUGUGCAGCUUUAGUCUCCAUCACUCUGCUCUCGAGUGCCUUCAAAAAGCCCAUGUCCUGGAAUCUUCUUUCCCUGGUCUGGAUCCUACCUCUGAUUGUUUCAUUCUCCGUGAGUGUUGGAAUUCACCCCUAUUCCAAAGGGCUUACUCACAAACUUGCUAAAAUCUGGCUGAGGAUUGUAAACACAGCUGUGCUCUGUUCCCCAUGUCACUGCUGAGUCCCCGUUUGUAGCUCCUCUUUGUAUCUUACUCCCCGCAUACAACACCUCCAGUACUAGAGCCCUUCUGUCCUCUGCCCUCUUUCCCUUUCUCUCACCACAGGCUGCUGUGUGUCAGCCAGUGUGUCUCUGGGCUAUCUUUUUCUCAGCUCAAGUCUUCCUGGAUGCCUACCCUCUGGAACUAAAGGAAUAGCGAAUGCUGCUGUUGCUACACAUCCUCUCUUUCAUAAAUGCUUUACAGGGUUCCUCCUGUGAUCUUAGUUUAGUCAUAGGAACUUAAAAGUGCCCAGGGUUUAACAAGAGUCCUUUUUGUUUUUGUUUGUUUGCUUUUGGAUUGGCCGAUCUCAUCCAGCCACCUGUCCCCUUGCAAACCCCAGUUUAUUUUCUUUUCUAUUUGUCCUCUUAUAAGUCAUUUAAAAGUGUUAUUGGUGUAUAAUAUAUGAAAGAUGUAAUAAAAAGGAAACUGAAGUGUGUUCUGUGUGUAGUAAUGUGCACUUCCUUGCUAAAAAUUACUUUAGCAACUGACUGGUCUUUGACAUCCCAGAUUAAAGCUUGUGCUAUGUCAUGGGUUGAUUGUCCCCUCCUAAAGUGGAAAUGGAUGAACUCUUUCAGUGAGGAAAUUGGAUUUUUUUUUAUAGGUAAAUAAACACUAAUGAAUAUUUUGACCUUAGUCAAAAUCUUUGCUUUCUGACUUACAAUCUCUUGCCUCUUUCCUGAAAGUUAUUAGUACUGAGGCAUCCAGGAUGGGUAGCUUCUGGAGUAGGAAUCCCAUAGGGCAGCUGUUGAUAAAUUUUUAAGAUUUUUUGUCUGGGAACAUACAGGAUGUUAAUUGGUGGGACAGUACCAAAUUGUGAGAAUUGGUUUGAUAAUACAGAAGACAAGACAUUUGAAUGUUUCACUGCUGUUUAGAAUGAGAGCAGUAUGCAGGCCAUAAGAGGUAGGCUCUGUGCUGUGGAAAUCAUUGACCUAUCCCUGGAUGCCUACAAGUACCCGCUUUGAAACUCUCCAGAGAACCCCGGCAUUCAGAUAGUGCAGAGACAUACUUACAUCACUAGGAGGAACUUCAGCCUUUGAAAAGGCUGGCUGCUUGUUUUGGGAGUGUAUUUAUUAGGGUACCUUUGGUCAUGUAUCAAAGGACAUUCUUUCCCCUCAGAGGUGUUUCUGUGGCUUAACUCCAGGUUACCUUCAUCCUAUUUGAGCUCCUCUGAGACCAGGAAUGUGACAGAUUACUUGAAAAUGAUUUUUAUAGGAAAUGGAGAUGCUCAAAAAGGUCUGGAAGCUGGGUUUUGCUUACCAUCAAAAGGAAAUCUGAUGCUUGUGUUGGCUAGUUUCAGUGGAGUCAAGAGAAGGGAGCGGCUUGUUUCUGCACACAGCCUCUCCAGUCUUCCUUGCAAGUGAAGGGGGCCGUGGAGCCAGAAGCAGAAGGGUCUCGCUCACACCCUGCAUAGGAUCUGAGACUUCUUGGCAGCAUUGGAAGGUGUCUUUCCAUACAUGAUUGAUCACUUGAGUUAAGUCAAAAAGAAAGAAACAGUGUAGUGUGGUGUGUUUACUUCUCAAGUUAUAUCAUCAGAUACGUGGCCUCAGAAAAUCAAAUGAAUUAUUUUCCACAAGUUUGAAUAUGAGUAAUUUUUUCAUUUCUUGAGCUGAUUCUAUUCCAUCUGUGGCAGUACUUGUUUUGACCACAAAGGGGCAGUAAAGUACUUCUCAACUUCUGGGAUAUCCCUUGGCUCACUGAUUGGAUUUGACUAAAGCAUUCUCACAUAUCACUAACUUCAAUGGAUGCUCAGGCCUCGUGAUGGGAGCAGAGAUUCCUGGGUCUGAGGUUCGUGUGGGUCAGCAGCAUAAUCAUCCAGCCUUUGUGAAUGUUGGUGACAUGAGAUUGAAAGCUAGGCCCUCAUCAUGAAGGAGCCUGUGCUUACUAAAGGCAGAGCUAAAAGGCGGCCCUCUUCCCUAUCUCCUCCCUGCGUCAGCACAUCUGUGACAGCCGUGGGGUCCUCUGUAGGACGUGUAAGCACAUGUGCUCUCCCCUCCGUCUGCUCCAAGCUGGUGCCUUGUCAUGGGGAGGUCUCCCACAGCAGGCACCCCCAUCAGGACAGAUUUUGGCCCAGCCCUCUCCAUCAGUUCCUUGUCUUUGGGCCCCCUGGUCUUCAUCAGCUCUCUGGGAGUUUUGACUGCUCAGAUGAAUAGUUGGUUAUCACCAGAGGAAACACCAGCCUGUGGGCAUUUACCCUGUAGGAUCAGGAAGCGCUUACCUGCGAAAGGGCGUCCCUCACUGCUUCCUCCCUGGUCCCUUUUCCCCAGAAAGACCCAAGGACCCAAUCAGUGCCAGAAGUAGAGUGGGGGUCCUUGUCAUCCCAGCACUAGACAGAAGCAGAACGGAAGCAGGUGGUAGGCAGAUGGCUUUCCCCAUAAUGCUGAGGUUACUUGUACUUUCUCAUUUCUUAAAAGGAAGUCCAGUUUGCUUGCCAGGAAUCCUUAGCCUUAGGUUUACAAAGCUUGCUGUUGAAUGUUUGUCCAAAGGAGUGUGAGAAGAGAGAAGCUGCUUGGUUCCAGUCCUGCCUGCAAGGUCAGAAGGUUGACUGUCUAGAAUUCGACAAUGUCUCCCUCUUGUCUCUGCAGAGGUUAAGACAGGUUGAGACUAAGUGAGGAAAAGUGUCUGUCAUGCUGUAAAGAAGCCUUCAGGGGGAGUGUGGGGGUGACAGGUGGGUGGGACAGGAUCUCUUGAGAUGGGAAGGAUGGGAGAGGAGGGCUUCUUGGCCCAGGGAGCUGCGUGGUGGGCUCUGAACUGGCCCACAAUUCCUGGCUUCCCUGACUCAUCUUUUUCCCAGCAUCCUGUCAGAUCUCCUGGUGUGGUAAUUUGCUUCUUGUGUUAAGUAUACCAAUAUUAUUUUUUUAGCAAUUGAAAUGCACUUUUUUAUUUCAACUCAAUCAUGAUUUUAAGUAUAAAAAUUUAUAGAUUGUUAAAACUACUUUUUUGUGUAUUUUUAACCACUCGAUGUAGCAUUGUAUAUUUUAUUCUUAUUAAGACUCUGGUACAAGGUGUGCCAUUUAAUGAUUUUUUUUUCCCCAACAUGCUGGGCCUUUGGAUGUGUACGGUAACCAACUUCAUGCUAAUGUUCAAAGUAAAAAAAGAAGAAAACGCA
ensembl:lncRNA